rnacentral:RNase_P_RNA from 1 species
UGAGAAGGUGGGGCAGUCGCGGGCAGUUUAUUAACUGCGUGAGGAAAGUCCGAGCUUCACAGAGCAGGAUAACGGCUAACGGCCGCCGAGGGUGACCUUAGGGAAAGUGCAACAGAGAUAUACCGCCUGCGUAGAGUGUCGGGAGCAAUUCGGACUAUGCCUGAAAACAAAUUGUGUUUCAAAAUGGAUGGUAUAGGUCAUACAGCUCUUUUAAAAGUCAAGAACGCUCAAAAAUCUUUUGCUUUCAGGUCGAAGAUUUUUUAUCGUGAGGAUUUUUGGCUUAUAAAGGCACAAAACGGAGCAAAUCCUUAACGGCUUUGCGAGUAUUUUAACGAAGAGAAGACGGAAAUCAUCCGAUAAAAAACAGUUCGGAUUAUUCCCGACGCUCUAUGUAGGUAAGGGUGGAAAGGCGAGGUAAGAGCUCACCGGGGCACGGGGAACCGUGCUGCCCUGCAAACCCUAUCCGAAGCAACACCGACCGGAGGAGAAGCUCUUUGAGCUUCGGCGCUUGCUCGGCGAUACUCCGAAGGGUGGCUUAAGCCAUGCAGCAAUGUAUGGCGUAGACAGAUGAUUGCCUUAAAUGACAGAACUCGGCUUACAAGCCUUCUCGGCGU